GAUGAACGCUGGCGGCGUGCCUAACACAUGCAAGUCGAGCGAUUCUCUUCGGAGAAGAGCGGCGGACGGGUGAGUAACGCGUGGGUAACCUGCCUCAUACACAUGGAUAACAUACCGAAAGGUAUGCUAAUACAGGAUGAUAUAAGAGAUUCGCAUGGAUUUCUUAUCAAAGCUCCGGCGGUAUGAGAUGGACCCGCGUCUGAUUAGCUAGUUGGUAAGGUAAUGGCUUACCAAGGCGACGAUCAGUAGCCGACCUGAGAGGGUGAUCGGCCACAUUGGAACUGAGACACGGUCCAAACUCCUACGGGAGGCAGCAGUGGGGAAUAUUGCACAAUGGGCGAAAGCCUGAUGCAGCAACGCCGCGUGAGUGAUGAAGGCCUUCGGGUCGUAAAACUCUGUCCUCAAGGAAGAUAAUGACGGUACUUGAGGAGGAAGCCCCGGCUAACUACGUGCCAGCAGCCGCGGUAAUACGUAGGGGGCUAGCGUUAUCCGGAUUUACUGGGCGUAAAGGGUGCGUAGGUGGUUUCUUAAGUCAGGAGUGAAAGGCUACGGCUCAACCGUAGUAAGCUCUUGAAACUGGGAAACUUGAGUGCAGGAGAGGAAAGUGGAAUUCCUAGUGUAGCGGUGAAAUGCGUAGAUAUUAGGAGGAACACCAGUAGCGAAGGCGGCUUUCUGGACUGUAACUGACACUGAGGCACGAAAGCGUGGGGAGCAAACAGGAUUAGAUACCCUGGUAGUCCACGCCGUAAACGAUGAGUACUAGGUGUCGGGGGUUACCCCCCUCGGUGCCGCAGCUAACGCAUUAAGUACUCCGCCUGGGGAGUACGCUCGCAAGAGUG
rnacentral:rRNA from 1 species